AUUCUCUUAUUUUUUUUCUCUUUCUUUCUUCUUCUUCUCAUUAUUUCUUUCUUCCCCUGUUCUUCACGGCUGCGGUUUCUGAGAGAAGUGUGAGAAUCGAUUAGAGAGGGUUUGUCGAUGAAGAGGUUCUGAUGAGGUAGGAGAUGGUGUUUCUGUUAAACAUUAUUCUUUCUUCCCCUGUUCUUCACGGCUGCGGUUUCUGAGAGAAGUGUGAGAAUCGAUUAGAGAGGGUUUGUCGAUGAAGAUGUUCUGAUGAGGUAGGAGUUGGUGUUUCUGUUAAAAAUUAAGAAGAAGAUUGAUAUGAUGAUAUAAAUCGAAGUUAGGGUUUCUGAUAUUUAUUGGAGUUACGAUUUCAGAUGAUUAAGAAGACAUUUAAGGAUGGGUUGGUCGAUCUGAUGAUCAUGGUGGUGUUAAGUCGUGUGUUGAUACAAAAUCAGAAAAAAUCAAAACAAUGGUUUUCAAUUUAAUUUUGGAGUUGUUUGGAUUUGAGAUGUAGAUCGAGUUGCUGAUGGAUUGAGAACUAAUGGGUGUUCGUUUAAAUGAAAUUUUGAAGUUAAUUUGGUGAAGAUUCGAGAAUUAGGGUUCCUGUUCUUUCCCAAAACAGAAACUGGAUCUUUGGUGGAAUUCUUGCUUGCACAAUGGAAAGAGCCACUGGUUUAUCUCUCGACCGAAUUAAAUUAACCAAAGGUGUGCGUUCAUGAGCCCAUGCUAAACUUUCAAUCAAUUCCUGCCAUGUUGGAUGUGAAAGACAUGUAUUGUUCAAAAUGUGUCAUUUUUUCUUUAGCGAGAUGCAAACACUAAUAGAAUUAGAAACAUUCAUUAUCUCUGAAACAAUGAAUUGAGUUCUGCUCCCGAUUGAUUUGGCGUAUUAGCAAUUAAGGGGAUACCAAAGUUUAGGUAAGCUUCUAAUUAUUCUAAGUUUGUGAUUUUAAAUUGGAUUGUUUAAAUUGUUGAGGUUAAGUAGUUAUGAAUGAAACUGAAAUUGAGGUGUGUUGAUGAUAUAAGCCUUGAGAAAGUAAAGGAUGAACUGUUGUUGUUGAGAUUUUGAGAAAUUGGUAAUGAUGUUGUAGUGACAGAUGAGUUUGGAUGACAGUGUUGCUGCUAGUGUUUCUGUAUUGCAGAUGAGGUAGAGAAGUUGAUGAUGAUUGUGGAAUUGAGUUGACGAAUGUAUCUGUGUGUAAUUAUUGAAGUGAUAAUGAGAGUGUUGUUAGAGUUCCAGUUGUGUAUACCAAGUUGCCUGAGUUGGUAAAUGUUAUUUACAGAUAUUGAUGAAGUUUAAUUGAUAGUGGAACAUAGAAUGGUUAUCAAAUUGAAGUGAUGGUUGAGUUGCAGCUGUAGGAAGUGUCAAUGGAAAUGUGGUUGUAAUUAAAUUUGUAGUUUAUAAAUGAAGAUUUCAGGUUGGUAAGUAUUGAGAUGAAGUUUAGUUCAUGCUGGUUUUGUUGUUUGAGUUGAAGAUCAGAAGUAGUGGUCACUGGAGAUGGUGUUGUUUGUAAAGAUGAGGUGAAAUGGAUUUGAAAGGAGUUGGUGAUUAACCAAAGGUUGUAGACCUGGAGUUGUUGUUGCUAUGUGAAUUGAUAUUGUAGCAGAAUAUAGGAACAUUGUUGCUUAAAGCUGCAAUUGCAGUUAGUCUAUUUAACAACGAUCGAUUCAAAGGAUGAACCAGUGGAUCGUGGAUCUCGAAGUAGGUGUGGCUUGUCAUCAAAAGAGUUUCAGAGACAGAUCAGAGUUGCACAGCUGAAGCUUCGAGGAGUUGAGUUUAUUAGUUUGAUUAACUUCGGCUAUGUUAUUAUGUUGUAUGUUUUAUUUGUAAACCAAAUAACUAAUGUAUAUGUAUCAUUUGAGAGAAGUUCUUGUAUAUAUAUAAUUCUGAGCGGGGCUAGUUUUGAGUUAAGUUUUGUAGCAGAUUUCUUAAGUGAAUGUUUAACUAUUUGAUUUAGAUUCGUAGUGCCUCUUUAUUUAGUUAA